rnacentral:rRNA from 1 species
CGGUACGGGUGCGUAACACGUGUGCAACCUGCCUUUAUCUGGGGGAUAGCCUUUCGAAAGGAAGAUUAAUACUCCAUAAUAUAUUGAACGGCAUCGUUUAAUGUUGAAAGCUCCGGCGGAUAGAGAUGGGCACGCGCAAGAUUAGCUAGUUGGUGAGGUAACGGCUCACCAAGGCGAUGAUCUUUAGGGGGCCUGAGAGGGUGAUCCCCCACACUGGGACUGAGACACGGCCCAA